CCAGUAGCACCUUAGAGACUAACUAAGUUAGUUAUUGGUAUGAGCUAACUUAGAAGAAGUGUGCAUGCACACGAAAGCUCAUACCAAUAACUAACUUAGUUGGUCUCUAAAGUACUACUGG